rnacentral:tRNA from 3 species
CGGGAUGUGGCUCAGCUUGGUAGAGCGCCUGCUUUGGGAGCAGGAUGCCGCAGGUUCGAAUCCUGUCAUCCCGACCA